rnacentral:lncRNA from 1 species
AAAAAAAAAAAAAAAAGAACUACUCUGUGAUACAAAUUCCACUCCUGAGUAUAGCUCCAAAGAACAUGUAAACACCAAUUCAAAAGGAUGAGAGCACCCAGUGUUCAGAGCACCACUAUUUACAACAGCCAACAUAUGGAAGCAAUCUGAGGCCAUCAACAGAUGAAUGGAUAAAGAAUAUGUGGUGUAAUCGAACCUGCAUCCUCAUGGUUACUAGUAAGGUUUGUUACUGCUGAGCCACAAUGGGAACUCCAGGGAAGUUACAUAAUAAUGCACAGAAGUCAGUUUCAAAUGAAAAAGUGUCUACAUAUUUGAAAAAAGCAGUGGACAGUGCAGUUCCCGAGCACCUGAGUACAAAGCAGAGCGAUACAAUCUCAGCAGAAAGGAAGACAAGCUUCUCGAAGACGGGACAGCGUGGGGACAGCGUGGCCAAAAGGCACUCGCCCUGGGAAGCUCAGGAGUGGAAGUGUGGUAUUUGCAAGUCAGUGAAAGGCUUAGUUUCCUCAUUUUCAGCCUCCUCAUCUUCAACAUGCAGGACUAGACUGAAGGAUCUAUUAAGAGUCUUCAGCUUAAAAAAUAAAUAA